CUUUUUUUCCCACACUCUCUCUUUCCAUCUCUUACAUCGUAUGCUUCCAGCUUCUGAUUUUUUGUUUCUGAAAUUGUAAAUUUUAGUUUGAGUUUUGCUCUAGCGCUCCUGUAUAUAUUUAUGACUAACAGGUGAGCGUUCCCGAUUUGGGGAUUUUUCCUCUUCCUCUUCGAAUUCCAUAGGCUAUAUUUGCCGCAUCUGCGAACUGUAAACAGAAUUUCUGAUGUUUAUUCUAGAGUUACUGGUGCUUUUAGAUCUUUCCUUAACUGGUUCCACUUAUGAAUGUUUUGAUUUGUAUAUCUAGUGCCAAAUUUCUUGGUUUUAUCUAGAUGACUUUAAAGGACGUUCUUUGAGAGGUCUUUGGAGAUCUAAGCGGUCUACAAUGAGCGAUCAAUGGAACUAAAAGGAACUCAAUGGGAAUAGAAAAAGGAUAUGUGAACAAAACUCUUAAAGCUAAAUCCCAGCAAUAGAGGAAAAGAAUUGACUUGAAUGUGACUUAGAAGAGCUUCUGACAUGAAUUGGAUAAGAUUUUUCGUUCUUUUCUCCCUGCCCAAGUGUGUAUGAAUCUAGCAUUCCUCCAGAUAGUGAAAUCCUUAAAAAUCUAAAUCAUCAUCAUUAGUGUGCUCAAGGACAUUACAGAAGCUCCAUCAAAAUCUCUCUCUUCAUCUUACGGAUGACAUUUAUCUCCAAAAUUCAGAAAUUAAUUGCAUUUGGUUUAGUUACUACUCGCAUCCAUUAAUGUUUCGUGUUCAUACAUACUUGAAAAUGAUGUCUCUACAGUUAAAAAUGAUAUAUUGUCUGCAUAUUAUUGCUUACAACCUAUGUUUUAGCUGAAAAUAUGCGAUUAUGAUGCAAAUUUUGAUGUGUUAAUAUGUAUCAUUAGGAUAUGCAUUUAGGAAGGGAAGAUCAGCAAGUGGAAAAGAAAUACGUUUCCACUAAGGGCAGGAUGGUGUAACCUAUUUCGCCGAAUCUUGUUUGAGUAGAAACUCUACUAAAGCAUUUUUCAAGGGAAUCUGAAAUUUAGGAAUUGUACGCGUAAGCAGGUUCUGAUACUUUGUUGAAUCUUGCUGCAGUACUACUGCGAAAAGAAAAAUUACAGCAACAAAGAUUUAUGGGGUGAUCGACUUUUACAAGAAAUGCAUGCUAUUUUGUCUUUCUCAUGGAAGUAGGCAGAAGAAUGUACUGUUGCAAUGUAUAUUUUAUAUCUUGUACAACUUUGGUCCUCAAAUAAAUGUACAUAGCAUGCAGCAUUAUUAUGUUAGUAUCUAAUUACCUUGAUAGUGUUC